rnacentral:rRNA from 1 species
CGGGGGGAGCGAAGCGUUGUUCGGAUUUACUGGGCGUAAAGGGCGCGUAGGCGGCCUCUGCAAGUCGACUGUGAAAUCUCCGGGCUUAACCCGGAAAGGUCAGCCGAUACUGCAGGGCUAGAGUGCAGAAGGGGCAACUGGGAAUUCUCGGUGUAGCGGUGAAAUGCGUAGAUAUCGAGAGGAACACCUGCGGCGAAGGCGGGUUGCUGGGCUCGACACUGACGCUGAAGCGCGAAAGCUAGGGGAGCGAACGGGAUUAGAUACCCCGGUAGUCCUAGCCUUAAACGAUGAAUGCUUGGUGUCUGGGGUUUUAUAGUCCCCGGGUGCCGUCGCUAACGCUUUAAGCAUUCCGCCUGGGGAGUACGGUCGCAAGACUG